rnacentral:rRNA from 1 species
CCUACGGGUGGCAGCAGUAGGGAAUCUUUCACAAUAGGCGAAAGCCUGAUGGAGCAACGCCGCGUGCAGGAUGAAGGCCUUCGGGUUGUAAACUUCUUUUGUAAGCGAGGAAUAUAAUGGUAACUUAUGAAUAAGGAUCGGAUAACUACCGGACAGCAGACGCGGGCAAACGUAGGAUCCGAGCAUGAUCCGGAGUGACUGGGGGGAAAGAGUUGCGUAAGUGGCAUAAUAAGUAGCUAGUGAAAGCUGGUGGCGCAACCAUUCAGACUAUUAGCUAAACUGUUAAGCUAGAGAACGUUAGGGGGAACUGGAAGUUCUAGUGUAGGAGUGAAAUCCGUAGAUAUGAGGAGGAACACCAGGGGCGAAGGCGGCCCGCUGGGCUUUUACUGACGCUGAGGUUCGAAAGUGUGGGGAGCAAACAGGAGUAGAUACCCGUGUAGUC